rnacentral:rRNA from 1 species
AUUGAACGCUGGCGGCAUGCCUUACACAUGCAAGUCGAACGGCAGCACGGGUGCUUGCACCUGGUGGCGAGUGGCGAACGGGUGAGUAAUACAUCGGAACGUACCUUAUCGUGGGGGAUAACGCAGCGAAAGCUGUGCUAAUACCGCAUACGCCCUGAGGGGGAAAGCGGGAGAUCGCAAGACCUCGCGCGAUUAGAGCGGCCGAUGCCUGAUUAGCUUGUUGGUGGGGUAAAAGCCCACCAAGGCGACGAUCAGUAGCUGGUCUGAUAGGACGAUCAGCCACACAGGGACUGAGACACGGCCCAGACUCCUACGGGAGGGAGCAGUGGGGAAUUUUGGACAAUGGGGGCAACCCUGAUCCAGCAAUGCCGCGGGAGUGAAGAAGGCCUUCGGGUUGUAAAGCUCUUUUGUCAGGGAAGAAACACCGGCUCUAACACAGUCUGGGAAUGACGGUACCUGAAGAAUAAGCACCGGCUAACUACGUGCCAGCCGCCGCAGUAA